rnacentral:rRNA from 1 species
UACAGAGGUGGCAAGCGUUGUUCGGAAUUACUGGGCGUAAAGGGCGCGUAGGCGGCCUUCUUAGUCGGACGUGAAAUCCCCGGGCUUAACUCGGGAACUGCGUCCGAUACUGGUUGGCUUGAGUUCGGGAGAGGGAUGUGGAAUUCCAGGUGUAGCGGUGAAAUGCGUAGAUAUCUGGAGGAACACCGGUGGCGAAGGCGGCAUCCUGGACCGAAACUGACGCUGAGGCGCGAAAGCCAGGGGAGCAAACGGG